AUAAGGAUUUUGAUAAAAUGAUAAGAGGAGA
rnacentral:sRNA from 1 species